rnacentral:tRNA from 1 species
GGGGAUUUAGCUCAGCUGGCUAGAGCGCGCGAUUCACAUUCGCGAGGUCAUAGGUUCAAGUCCUAUAAUCCCCACCA